rnacentral:lncRNA from 10 species
UGGCCCUGUAGACAGAUGUCCCACUUUGCUGCCCCAUAUUGGCUGGACUCUGAGUAUGACAUCUCUCCUAUGUGCAGAAGUCUGGUUGCCACUGGGAGUAGGUGGGACCAGGGAAAUCUCUGGGACGUGAGUGUGGAGGCCUGUUGGUCUAGACUCUAGACUGUGGAGCUCUGAGCUUUUGUGUCCUCUGGAAGGAAGCUGGGGAAGAAUCCUCUCCAUUGUUAAGUGACGGGGAUAGAAGCUGUCCUGCACAGGAAGUCACGAGGGGGGCGUAUCCCACGAGGAAGGCAGGAGGGGGCGUGCCCCUCACCGGAAAUUAGCAGAGGGGCGUGUCCCACACCGGAAGUCAGAAAGCGGAGCCUUUCUUACACCGGAAGUCAAUGAAGCGGGUCUUUCCUACGCUAAAAACCACUGAGUGGAGUAUUUAGUACACAGGAAGUCGGCCAGAGAAACAUUUCUCAUAUUUGAAGGCCGGAAAGAGGGACAUUUCUGACACCGGAAGUCAGUGAGAGGACUCUUUCCCACACAGGAAGUCAGCUAGAGAGCCGUCUCCCCUCUCUGGAGCCGAGAGAGGCCGGUUUCCCCCACCGUAGCCCACCUGGGAGGAAUUUUCCAGAGAUCACUGUCUGAUGACCCUGUCUUGGAAUUGGAGCCAUGCAAGUUACACUGACCACGUUUGGGUUGGGAUAUUGAGGAGGUUAUGGUUAAAAGCAUACGAUGGGAGAUCAUAUUGUACUUGCGAGUGAGACCCGGCUGGAGGAAUGUUUUAAUUCUUCGGAAAUACCAAGUGGUCUCUAGAUGGGUUUUCACUAUUUUUCCCAGGCUAGUCUCCAACUUCUGGGCUCAAGCGAUCCACCCGCCUUGGCCUCCUAAGUCCUAGGAUUAUAGGGGGACCUUUGGCCAUGUCUUGAGAUGUUUUUGGUUGCCGUGAUUGAGGAGGUGCUACCAGCGUCUGCUGGGCAGAGACCAGGGAUGCUGCUCCACAUCCCACAAUGCACAGGACAAUCUUCUCUACAGCAAUGAAUUAUCCAGUUCACAAUCUCAAUAGCACCAAUAUUGAGAAACCCUGUUGAAGAUGGAGACUAUCCACGGGGCAUUGAUCUUGGGGUCUCCCCCUUCCUGAAUACUUGAAGUCCCUCGGCAGACUCUUGGAUACCUCCAGCAAUGGGGAGCUCACCACCUGUUUUGAAGCCAGGCAGGUUUGGGCUCUUCUUGUAGCUGUGUGACUCUGGAUUUUCCCAUAGGUGGGAGUGGAUCCACCACCUUGAGCUUCAGUUUCCUCCAGUGCCAUGGGAUUAGCAGCAGCCCUGCCUCACAGAUUGCGUGAGGAUGAAAUGAGAUGAUGCUCCUGAGUUGGCUGGUGCAGUGCACGGUACACAGAGAGUGCUCAAUAAAUGUUCCCUGCUGUGAAU